AAUGACAACUUCCAAGAGACCAAAACCACAUUUGUCAGGCCCUGAUCAUACAGAACAGACUUUUUGUGGUGGAUUCAGCUACCUCAAGAGUGUAUAUACAGGAACAACUGGGCGGCUCAGUUGGCUAAAUGUCUGACUCUUGAUCUCAAAGUUGUGAGUUUAAGCCCCAUGUUGGGCAUCACAAAGUAUUACGCAGUACUGCUUCUACCACCAGGGGACAGGAAAAGGAAUGGGUAAUCUAGAAGCCACUAAUAAAACUAAACGCUUAUCUGAG
rnacentral:lncRNA from 1 species